UGGUGGGUAGUUUGACUGGGGCGGUCUCCUCCUAAAGAGUAACGGAGGAGCACGAAGGUUGGCUAAUCCUGGUCGGACAUCAGGAGGUUAGUGCAAUGGCAUAAGCCAGCUUGACUGCGAGCGUGACGGCGCGAGCAGGUGCGAAAGCAGGUCAUAGUGAUCCGGUGGUUCUGAAUGGAAGGGCCAUCGCUCAACGGAUAAAAGGUACUCCGGGGAUAACAGGCUGAUACCGCCCAAGAGUUCAUAUCGACGGCGGUGUUUGGCACCUCGAUGUCGGCUCAUCACAUCCUGGGGCUGAAGUAGGUCCCAAGGGUAUGGCUGUUCGCCAUUUAAAGUGGUACGCGAGCUGGGUUUAGAACGUCGUGAGACAGUUCGGUCCCUAUCUGCCGUGGGCGCUGGAGAACUGAGGGGGGCUGCUCCUAGUACGAGAGGACCGGAGUGGACGCAUCACU
rnacentral:rRNA from 2 species